rnacentral:rRNA from 1 species
GAUGAACGCUAGCGGCAGGCCUAAUACAUGCAAGUCGAACGAUAGAAGAGGGCUUGCUCUCUUCGAAAGUGGCGCACGGGUGCGUAACGCGUAUGCAACCUACCUUAAUCAGGGGGAUAGCCCGAAGAAAUUCGGAUUAACACCGCAUAAAAUCACAGUACAGCAUUGUACAAUGAUCAAAUAUUUAUAGGAUUAAGAUGGGCAUGCGUGACAUUAGCUAGUUGGCGGGGUAACGGCCCACCAAGGCGACGAUGUCUAGGGGAUCUGAGAGGAUGACCCCCCACACUGGUACUGAGACACGGACCAGACUCCUACGGGAGGCAGCAGUAAGGAAUAUUGGUCAAUGGAGGCAACUCUGAACCAGCCAUGCCGCGUGCAGGAAGACGGCCCUCUGGGUUGUAAACUGCUCUUAUUCGGGAAUAAACCUCAUUAUGUAUAGUGAGCUGAAUGUACCGAAGGAGUAAGGAUCGGCUAACUCCGUGCCAGCAGCCGCCGUAA